rnacentral:ncRNA from 1 species
UGAUAGAGGCGCGGGCGUCAAGAGUACCGCCCCCUCAGAGCCAGGCAGGCAGAGGGCGGGGAAGGGGCGUCUGCCGAGGUCGUGCGUGCGGCUGCCUGGCCGCGCAUGGCCGGGCCGCGGGAGAAGAUCCCGCGGACUGUCGUCCCCUGUAUAGUGGGGGGCGGAGCGCUGUCG